rnacentral:tRNA from 1 species
GGCCCUAUGGUCAAGUGGUUAAGACACCGCCCUUUCACGGCGGUAACCCGGGUUCGAGUCCCGGUAGGGUCA